GAUGAAGAACGCAGCGAAAUGCGAUACUUGGUGUGAAUUGCAGAAUCCCGUGAACCAUCGAGUCUUUGAACGCAAGUUGCGCCCGAAGCCACUAGGCCGAGGGCACGCCUGCCUGGGCGUCACACGUCGUUGCCCCCCCCCCCAUCUACUCCUUCGGGAUUGCGGGGGGCGGAUGAUGGCCUCCCGUGCGCCUAGCCGCGCGGUUGGCAUAAAUACCAAGUCCUCGGCGACGCACGCCACGACAAUCGGUGGUUGCGAAACCUCGGUUGCCCGUCGUGUGCGUUCGUCGCGCAUCGAGGGCUCGAAAAAAUGCUCGGCUCCGGCUCGGCUUUCAACGCGACCCCAGGUCAGGCGGGGUUACCCGCUGAAUUUAAGCAUAUCAUAAGCGGAGGA
rnacentral:misc_RNA from 1 species